GAUGAAGAACGUAGUGAAACGCGAUAGUUAAUGUGAAUUGCAGAAUUCAGUGAAUCAUCGAGUCUUUGAACGCACAUUGCGCCCAUUGGUAUUCCGUUGGGCAUGUCUGUUUGAGCGUCAUUACAACAGUUCAGCGUAAGCUGGUUAUGAGUUCUGUUUUUUUAAACAAAAAACAGGCUUUAAAAUGUAUGUUCUGCAGGUCGCUUUGCUAAACCCUAAACAUUAAAUACUGUUCUAGUGAAGCAUUUGCGACUCUGCCUGAAAAAAAACUUUUGUUAAAGUUUGACCUCAGAUCAGACAAGGAUACCCGCUGAACUUAAGCAUAUCAAUAAGCGGAGGA
rnacentral:misc_RNA from 1 species